rnacentral:rRNA from 1 species
UGAAGGGCCGCAGUAUUUUGACUGUGCAAAGGUAGCAUAAUCAUUAGUCUUCUAAUUAAAGGCUGGAAUGAAUGGCUGGACGAGGUAUUAGCUGUCUCAUGGGGAUUGAUUUUGAAUUUAGCUUUUUAGUCAAAAGGCUAAAAUGAAAUUGGAGGACGAGAAGACCCUAUAGAUCUUUACAUUUUAAUUUUUUAACUUAUUUGGUAAAUUUUUAGUUUUAGAGUGAAAAUGUUUUGUUGGGGUGACAGGAAGAUAAAAUAAACUCUUCUUUUUAGAUACCACUGAUGAGUGAGUGUAUGAUCCAUUAAUAAUGAUUAUAAGACUAAGUUACCUUAGGGAUAACAGCGUAAUCUUUUUUGAGAGUUCUAAUCGACAAGAAGGGUUGCGACCUCGAUGUUGGACUAAGGGUAAUUUUGGGUGUAGCCGUUCAAAAUUUAGGUCUGUUCGACCUUUGGAUCCUUACAU